rnacentral:rRNA from 1 species
UACAACAUAGUGUCAAUGCAUCGGAUCCCAUUAGAACUCCACGCUUAGGCUAGAGUACUACUAGGAUGGGUGACCGCUUGGGAAGUGCUAGUGUUUUAC